CUUUUUAUUCUUGCAUGUUUGGGUGGUUUGUGAAGAAUUUAAAAUCUAGGGAGAAUUUGGCACUUGCAUAUAAUUGUAGGAUGCAAUACAUGUUGCAACACAUUAAAUAUAAGGGGUAAUUACAAUUUGCUCUUGUAUUUUUCCAUAUUAUAUUAAUUAUCCUCUAAUACUUAAAGAAUAUUUUUGAAAAUUUUUUAUUUUAUGAAUUUUUACUAAAAAUUAAUUCUAUCAGAAUUUCUGUUAAACAAUUGUUAACUUGGUUAUACUAUUUGCUCUUGAUCUUUAGUGUGAUAUAUAAAUUUUUUUUUAUAAUUUAUUUAUUAUACUAGAAUUCUUUAGUCUAAUUUAUGUGGAAAAAUUAAUUUUAAUAUUUGUACAAAAAUAAUCAACUAGUAUUCUUCAAUUAUUUUAAUUUUAAUAUAUAUGUACUCAAUCUCUGCAUGAAUAUAUGAAAAAAAAGGAGAUCCAUCUUCUAUACAAGUUGUCAUGGUAUCGGAGCCUAUCACUCCUCGACAGACUUAUCUACCUUUUGUUUAACAACUGUGAAAGAUUCAGAAACCUCAUAUAUCCUUCUGGAGAAUAACAAUCCAACCCUACUCUCACUAAAUUAACUACCACAAUAACUGAAAUAUUGAACAGACAAAGCAACU
rnacentral:lncRNA from 1 species